rnacentral:rRNA from 1 species
GAUGAACGCUAGCGGCAGGCUUAACACAUGCAAGUCGAGGGGCAGCGCGAUGUAGCAAUACAUUGGCGGCGACCGGCGCACGGGUGCGUAACACGUAUGGAAUCUGCCCUGUACUGGAAGAUAACCCGGCGAAAGUCGGACUAAUAUCCCAUAAUAGCCGAGGUGGCAUCACCUUGGUUUGAAAGCUCCGGCGGUACAGGAUGACCAUGCGCACGAUUAGCUAGUUGGUGAGGUAACGGCUCACCAAGGCUACGAUCGUUAGGGGGCCUGAGAGGGUUAUCCCCCACACUGGUACUGAGACACGGACCAGACUCCUACGGGAGGCAGCAGUGAGGAAUAUUGGUCAAUGGGCGGAAGCCUGAACCAGCCAUGCCGCGUGCAGGAAGACGGCCCUACGGGUUGUAAACUGCUUUUCCGGGGGAAGAAUAAGGGCGACGUGUCGCCCGAUGCCGGUACCCGGGAAUAAGGAUCGGCUAACUCCGUGCCAGCAGCCG